rnacentral:lncRNA from 1 species
GUCCUGUCAACCCUUUUAGCAAGUGUCAAAAACUCAAAGAAAAAGACGAUGACUUUGAAGUCUACAAGUCAUAUUUCUGUGAACGAGUGAACUGGCAACAUGUCGAGCCUGUAAGUAACUAGGUUUUUCCUAUAGAAAUUAUAGCAAGUCACAGUAAAAUCUUGAACACAGAACAACAACAACAACAGCAGCUGGAUCAAUUGGUUCCUCGGAAUCAAGGGCAACGAGUUCCUCUGCCACGUGCCCACCAACUACUUUCAGGACACGUUCAACCAGAUGGGCCUGGAGUACUUCAGCCAGCACUGGACGUGAUCCUGAAGCCGGCGUUCGACAGUUCCUCGGGCUUGUUCUACGACGAUGAGAAAAAGUGGUACGGCAUGAUUCACGCCCGAUACAUCAGGUCGGAGCGUGGCGUGAAUGAUAUGCACCGAAACUAUAUGAGAGGAGACUUUGAAUCGUGUCCGAAUAUCUCCUGUAAUAGGAAGAACACCCUGCCAGUGGGCCUCAGCGAUGUGUGGGGCAAGUCAACGGUGAAGAUCUACUGCCCACGCUGUAAAAACUACUUCCAUCCUAAAACUGAUACACAGCCAUGUUCGAGCCCAGCUUCCCGGACAUCUUCUUAACGCAGCUGCCGAACUUGAGACCGCCCCUGGACGACCCACGGUAAGUAAUUCUCCGAAUAUAGUCCUGGUUGUUUUCUAAACAAAGCGCUUGAACUUGCAGUCCCUAUGCUUUCGGUUGCACCAGAAGGCCUUGAUGCCACUUAAAUCGCCCAAGUCCUCACCAAAGAAAAUCGGAUCCUCGGCCAGCUAGUCCUCCUCCUCGCCCCGGCAUUCCGAAGUCAAGCGCUUCAAUGUUCUUCUAGGGAUGACGUGAUUUUUUAACUCCACACAAAAGAAAGCAGAAAUGUUUGUCCGAUAUAUUGUUGUUGCAAUUAAACAGAUUCCGCAGUGCGUUGAUAUGGCCAGCUACCACCUACUAAUAUACCUCAUACACCUCUCCUCUAAAUACUUGGUUCAAAGUGUUCGGUCCAAGCUGGUCAUAUAAAGCACUCAUUCGAGUAGCAAAGCAUACUUUUCGUUAAUAGUGGUAAUCACCUGGGUAUAAUAAUAAUAUUAAUCAAUAAAACAUUCAAUUCAGUUUUUUAUUUAAUUUUAUGUUAAAAGAGUUUCCAAAAGUGUUUUCCUGACUACAUCAAAUACUUUUUGAUAAUUUAAUUUCUUUAAAUUCUUUAAAUAUACAAAUUC